CUCAACCGGGCUUAUUACGCCCCACACCGAAUCACCACCAUCCGAUGGCACGAAAUCAACGGUCUAGCUUUAAUUUCGAACCAGAAAAGCAAAUUUCGGCCAAGCCACACCAAUAGAAUAUGAACCCCUUUAAUCACAAACUCAAAUCCAAUGUGAAUUCUCUUAGAAACCUAGUUUGAGAGAGAUAGAUGCUCUUUUUGCUAAACCAUAAAACCUUUAGCCAUAAAUCUAUAUUUGAGAGACAUGAGAGAAGAACUUUAUAACCUAAACCCUUAGAUUCUUUCACAAUGUGGGAGAGAGAGAUCAAACAUGAGAGAGAUAAAUUUUCUUAAAAGAGAAUUAGAAAGAUAAGGUGUAGAGAUUUUUUGGUAGAAACAAUCCCUUUUUUAGGCUUUGAAUAAGAUUAGGGUUUCUUAAUGUUUUCUUUGGCUUGCCUCUUCUUGUGAGAUUGAAUAUCGACCGUUGAUCAAGGGUGACUUGUGGGGUGAGAGAUCUAAGCCAUCCAUUUAAUAGAUGGGUCAUCAACAUUAUGGAAGGUGCAUGAAUCAUUAUCCUCAUUUCCUAAACCAUUUUCUCAUCAAUAGAAAUUAAAUAAAUUAAAUCUAAUCAAAAUAUUGUGCAUACCAUAAAAUAGCACAAGUCUACUCAAUCUUUCCACAAAAUCUUUAAAAGAUAUAUCAAGUCAAUAUUUAAUCAAUGUCUUCCAACCAUAUGGCCACAUGCCGUAUCACCAAAAAAUAGGAAAGAGAAUAAGGGUGGGGCGUGACCACCCAAAUGAGGCACUCAUGAG
rnacentral:lncRNA from 1 species